rnacentral:rRNA from 1 species
UACGUAGGUGGCGAGCGUUGUCCGGAUUUACUGGGCGUAAAGAGCGCGCAGGCGGUCGUUCAAGUCGCGUGUGAAAGCCCCCGGCUCAACUGGGGAGGGUCACGCGAUACUGUUCGACUCGAAGGCAGGAGAGGGAAGUGGAAUUCCCGGUGUAGUGGUGAAAUGCGUAGAUAUCGGGAGGAACACCAGUGGCGAAGGCGACUUCCUGGCCUGUUCUUGACGCUGAGGCGCGAAAGCUAGGGUAGCAAACGGG